GACGAACGCUGGCGGCGUGCCUAAUACAUGCAAGUCGAACGCAGUGGGGACGGGUGAGUAACACGUGGGUAACCUCCCAUCAGAGGGGAUAACACUUGGAAACAGGUGCUAAACCGAUACUGGAGGAUGGACCCGCGGUGCAUUAGCUAGUUGGUGGGGUAACGGUGCACCAAGGCCACGAUGCAUAGCCGACCUGAGAGGGUGAACGGCCACACUGGAACUGAGACACGGCCCAGACUCCUACGGGAGGCAACAGUAUGAAAUCUCAGGCAAUGGAAGAAAGUCUGACCGAGCAAAGCUGCGUGAGCGAAGAAGGUUUUCGGAUCGUAAAACUCUGUUGUUAGAGAAGCGGUAUCUAACCAGAAAGCCACGGCUAACUACGUGCCAGCAGCCGCGGUAAUUC
rnacentral:rRNA from 1 species